UACGUAGGGGGCAAGCGUUGUCCGGAAUCAUUGGGCGUAAAGCGCGUGUAGGCGGCCCGGUAAGUCCGCUGUGAAAGUCCAGGGCUCAACCCUGGGAUGCCGGUGGAUACUGUCGGGCUCGAGUCCGGAAGAGGCGAGUGGAAUUCCUGGUGUAGCGGUGAAAUGCGUAGAUAUCAGGAGGAACACCUGCGGUGUAGACGGCUUACUGGACCAUAACUGACGCUGAGGCACGAAAGCGUGGGUAGCAAACAGG
rnacentral:rRNA from 1 species